rnacentral:rRNA from 1 species
UACAGAGGUGGCAAGCGUUGUUCGGAAUUACUGGGCGUAAAGGGCGCGUAGGCGGUUUCGUAAGUCCCGUGUGAAAGCCCCCGGCUCAACUGGGGAACUGCACGGGAAACUGCGAGGCUUGAGUUCGGGAGAGGGAAGCGGAAUUCCGGGUGUAGCGGUGAAAUGCGUAGAUAUCCGGAGGAACACCAGUGGCGAAGGCGGCUUCCUGGACCGAUACUGACGCUGAGGCGCGAAAGCUAGGGGAGCAAACGGG